CGUAAGAAAAUCUUUGGCCCGGGGUACAUUCAAAUUCCCCGAAGUUGCAAUUUAAAGCGGCGUGCUCAGUGCUGGCAGAAGUUAGUGAGGGAUGCAAUUGACAGCAUUGCACAGUAAUUUUUAAAGAUGUUAAAAUGCUUCAUCUGUUUGUCAGAGAGUCGCCCUUCAGCCUUAUGGCAUCCGUCAAUUUCAUAUAAGACGUGGCAACUGUGUACUGGUGAAGAACUCCCCAUGUACAAAGUUAAGGUCUGUUUGGGGAAUGAGAGGUGUGUGUCAGGGAUGCUUGCUGGUGAACACUUUCCAUUUUCAAAAUCUCUAAAUAGUUUUUCUUUCUGCUGCUGUUCCUUGUUCAGUGCGGCAACCAGGAGAGUGUGUUACCAGGUACUGCUGCCACAUUUAUGUUUGAAGCAUACUGACUGUAGAAAGCUUGUACCUGAUGCCAUGUUUUACCACUUUCAUGAUAGGUUGUUACCUCAGGAGUUGGUAUUAUAUGGUGUAGCUGGGGAUUGGUGAUAAAGUAAAACAUCAUAUUUAAGUUGAAAUCUCUGGUAUAUCCAUCAAACAUUGCAUUUAGCAGUUGGGAGCUCAAAAGCAAUUAGACAGAAUAUACACGUAGAUAAUGCUGUCAACAUCCUGUGAGUUUCAAAUGUGUAUAAUUUGGCUUGAGACUGGAAUAUAAGCAACAAGUAAUUGUUAGGUGCUGUUCAGAGAUGGAGUGAAACUGUGGAAGUAGUAAUGGUGGUCCACAUACUGGAAGAGCUGAUGGGUGAGGCAAGGCUCGGUGACACAGUGCGAUACAGCAGAUUUCCUGUGAUGACAGCAAGAAACUGCUGUGUAGGCCAUCUGGGGGCAAGCCUCGCCCACUCCACAUACGGGCGUAUCUGAAGACACAACUAACAGCAACAGAUGUGGUUCAUGGAGACACUGUGUGAGACAAAUGCUGAAUUGGACUAUAAAAUAUCGGAAUCAGCAUAAGAAAUGAUGAAGGCGAUGAGUAGAUGAGAUGACUCACUCUCGGUGAACCACAACGUUUUUGCUGUUUUCAUCCGUUGGAGAAUCAGCGGAUUUUAUACUGAGAACAAAACUUGCUCGGAUAGUCAAGGUUCCAUGCAAUCUCACAGGUCACCAAGUGGCAGUGCCAUUUGCCACAUCUUCCUGGCGUGAGAAGAGUUCCUUCUGGAUGUGGAGCUGGCAUUGCUCUAUCGACACAAGGGGCAGCCCUCAGCAUUACUAAGUUUUCCCAGUCAAGAAUUUACACACUGUGGCUGGUCACUGUUGACUGAAACUCUUGUCUUGGUCACUCAUGUGUUUCGUUUGAAGAAUCAAGUGUGUUUGAAAGCAGGUAAAAAUUGGCCUGAGAAGACUUUGCAGAACAGUUACAGUGUUAAACUGGCAGCUGUGUUUGAGGUAAUGAUGCAACCAAUCCUACUGAGGCACGAAAUGUAGGGAACACAGAUGGAGGAAUGUAAUUUCACAUCCUAUCUUAGCAUGGGACCAUCUAUCUUUAGAAGAUUCAUGAGAAGUGCUUGGAGUUUCUAAUAUAAAUUAGUUUUCUGCUGCCCAACAGAUAUUCAAUGAAUAUUUUUGUUGCAUUUGUUACUGUCAUUGCUGUACAAUGUUGUUGUUACAGUUUCAUUGGGACAUUUUAGUCUGUAAAUUAAAUUCUGGCUGCAUUCUUUGCAAAUGGGCAGGCCUGAAGAGUUUUGAAUAUGCAUGCUGAAAACUCGCGGAAUGUUCAGAAUUCAUUCUGAAAUAUUCAAGGAGACUGAUUAGUAUUUAUCCAAUUCUGGUUCCUUCUUUGAAUAGUUUCCACUGCUGGUGCACACAUUGUAAACAAUACGUAAAUACUUAAAGAUGCUGUAUGAAGACAGUUUUCACGUGAAUACUUCUAAAUGACAUUUCUUUGCUGUAAUCUGAAGUUCAGUGAUGUGUGUGGAACAGGAUAGCAAAACAGGAUGUCUUACACACCUUGAAUACAUUCUCCAAUGUAGUGUUCGCUAUUCCAUCCAAAUGAGAAGUUAAAGAAAUCUUUCACAUUAGCUUGAUACAAUUCCAAUACUGCUGCUACUGCCAAAACAAAGGAUUGCACAGUAAUCAAUGUGCAUCAACAGGACAGAAUGCUGGGGACGAGUUUUCUUUCCCAGGAAAGUUUUAAUGCCGGCAGAGGGAGAGGGGUGGGGUGUGGUGGCAUCGUCUGCUAAUAUCGGAAGUUACCAUCUGUUUCACCGCACUUGUUUGCAUUCUAGAAGUGAAUUUCAGACAAUGGAAAAUACAGGAUGUAAUGUAAUGGAGUGUGGCUUCAACUGCCAGAGACUGUGUGUGUGUGUGUGUGUGUGUGUGUGUGUGUGUGUGUGUGUGUGUGUGUGUGUGUGUGUGUGUGGCCAAAAUCCUAUUUUGUGACAGUCUUUUUGUUGUGCCUGUUUGCGACUCAGCAUCUCUGCUAUAUGGAUUGUAGAAGUGAAGUGAAUUUCCGACUUUCAUACUUCUGAGAUUGUAUUGUAUUAAAAAUACAUUGCUGACAAAGUUUUCAUGAUAGAGUUAGCUUUAAUGAAGGAGAAAUAUAGAAUUUUUUGACAUUUUUGGUGCUUAAAUAAGAUCAGAAAUGGAGACUGGAGUCUGGCUCAGUGUACUGCCUUACAAAUGUUGCUUGUGUACGUUUUCAAUUUCAUUCACAGCUCAAAAUUUUCAGCAGCUUUGUAGUAUAUGUUUCUUAAAAUCAAAUUCAUUCAUGGGCUGCAGAAUUGGGCUAGUUUACUGGACUUAACAGGCUUCAGUAAAUUAAUCUGUUAUCUUUGGGAGUUUGUUCUUGGCUUAACGAACACAGGUAAGAAGGCAUCAGUAAUGUCAUAGGAUUGUGCUUCAUUGAUGAAGGUAUUGAAAUCUGCUCAUUCCUGUUAAAAGCCAGUAUUGGACUUCUGGAGGCAUCUUAAUCUUCCGAAAUUGCACUGAAAUGCAGUAAGAUCUGCAGUGAAUAGGCAAAGAACGAUCCUUUAUUGUAUGAUUAUAUGAUAGUGGAACAAACACUGGUAGCAGUUACUUCUGUUAAAUACCUGGGAGUAUGCGUGCGGAACGAUCUGAAGUGAAAUGAUCAUAUAAAAUUAAUUGUUGGUAAGGCGGUUGCCAGGUUGAGGUUCAUUGGGAGAGUCCUUAGAAAAUGUAGUCCAUCAACAAAGGAGGUGGCUUACAAAACACUCGUUCGACCUAUACUUGAGUAUUGCUCAUCAGUGUGGGAUCCGUUCCACAUUGGGUUGACGGAGGAAAUAGAGAAGAUCCAAAGAAGAGCGGCGCUUUUCGUCACAGGGUUAUUUGGUAACCCUGACAGCUAUACGGAGAUGUUUAACAAACUCAAGUGGCAGACUCUGCAAGAGAGGCACUCUGCAUCGCAGUUUCGAGAGGGUGCGUUUCUUGGUGAGGUAUUGAAUACAUUGCUUCCCUUUACUUACACCUCCUGAGGAGAUCACAAAUGUAAAAUUAGAGAGAUAUUAGAGUGCGCACAGAGGCUUUCCAGCAGUCGUUCUUCCCGUGAACCAUACGCGACUGGAACAGGAAAGGGAGGUAAUGACACUGACGUGUAAAGUGCCCUCCACCACACACUGUUGGGUGGCUUGCAGAGUAUAAAUGUAGAUGUCAAUAAAAUUCUUCUGGGUUAGAGACCGCAUUGUCAUUUAUAAAAU